rnacentral:rRNA from 1 species
CAGCAGCCGCGGGAAUACAGAGGGUGCGAGCGUUAAUCGGAUUUACUGGGCGUAAAGCGCACGCAGGCGGUCUGUCAAGUCAGAUGUGAAAUCCCCGGGCUUAACCUGAGAACUGCAUUUGAAACUGGCAGGCUAGAGUCUUGUAGAGGGGGGUAGAAUUCCAGGUGUAGCGGUGAAAUGCGUAGAGAUCUGGAGGAAUACCGGUGGCGAAGGCGGCCCCCUGGACAAAGACUGACGCUCAGGUGCGAAAGCGUGGGGAGCAAACAGGAUUAGAUACCCGUGUAGUCCCUGUCUCUUAUAC